rnacentral:rRNA from 1 species
AUUCUGCAGAAUUUUUUGUAGAUGAGCUCUGCCCACUGACUUUUUAACGGCCGCGAAUAUGUGCUAAGGUAGCAAAAUAAUUAGGCUUUUAAUUGGAGUCUUGUAUGAAUGAGUUUAAUGGGAUGUAGCUAUCUAAAAUCAACUUUAAAACUUGUAGAAAAGGUGAAAAUUCCUUUUUAGAGACAAAGACGAAAAGACCCCGGGAAUUAUAAUAAAAAUUGUUUGUUGGGGCAACAUAGUAUAUAAACAGCAGUAGUUAACAGGCUUAAACUUAAAAAAGAAUAAUUACCCCGGGGAUAACAGCAUAAUACUAAUAUGUGUUUGUGACCUCGAUGUUGGACUAAGAACCUUGUUAAUUAGAUAUUAACAAAUAUAAGCUCUGUUCGAGCUAUUAUUUCUU